rnacentral:rRNA from 1 species
CCUACGGGGCGCAGCAGUCGGGAAUAUUGCGCAAUGGAGGAAACUCUGACGCAGUGACGCCGCGUAUAGGAAGAAGGUUUUCGGAUUGUAAACUAUUGUCCACAGGGAAGAUAAAAGACUGUACCUGUGAAGAAAGCUCCGGCUAACUACGUGCCAGCAGCCGCGGUAAUACGUAGGUGGCAAGCGUUAUCCGGAUUUACUGGGUGUAAAGGGCGUGUAGGCGGGAGAGCAAGUCAGACGUGAAAUUCCAGGGCUCAACCCUGGAACUGCGUUUGAAACUGUUCUUCUUGCGUGAUGGAGAUGCA